UGCAAGAGUUCGCAGACGAA
rnacentral:miRNA from 1 species